rnacentral:lncRNA from 1 species
ACACCAUCUUCACUUCUGCGGGGACCUAGUUUGCCCCCACCUGAUGCAACCCAGAAAAUGGACUGACUGCGAGUGCCUUGGGGCGGAGAAUGUGUCUUGCUACGUGUAAAGCACCUAGAACCCUGCCAGAUUCAGGGGACACAGCAUCCUGCCGUUUUCCUGCCGUCCCCCGCCCGCCACACAGUAGGCGCUCCAGUGGCUCGGGGCAUCUACCAGGCAGGCCGCGCUGUCCUGCCCUGCCGGGGCUGGAGUGGAGCAACCCUCCGGGGCCACCCACAUCUGGGUACCUUUUCCCCACUUUUUCCACCCCAGCCGCGCACAGUCACCAGAAAACUCUUUUAGAAAUACAAACACUUGGCCUGGCGCGGUGGCUCACACCUGUAAUCCCAGCACUCUGGGAGGCCGAGGCGGAUGGAUCACCUGAGGUCAGGAGUUCAAGACCAGCGUGGCCAACAUGGUGAAACCCCAUCGCUACUAAAAAUACGAAAAAAUUAGCUGGGCGUGGUGGUGGGCAUCUGUGAUCUCAGCUACGCAGGAUGCUGAGGCAGGAGAAUCGCUUGAACCCAGGAGGCGGAGGUUACAGUGACCAAAGAGGGCACCACUGCACUCCAGCCUGGGCAACAAGAGCGAAACUUUAUCUAAAAAAAAUAAAAAUAAAAAAAUACAAUCACUUUUCUCUGAUUGGAAUCAAGGUCCCAGAAUACAAUCUUAAGAACAAGUUUUGGCCAGUGUGGUGGCUCACGCCUGUAAUCCCAGCACUUUGGGAGGCAGUGGCCGGUGGAUCACCUGAGGUCAGGAGUUCGAGACCAGCCUGGCCAAUUUUUAGUAGAGCCCAUCUCUACUAAAAAUACAAAAAUUAGCUGGGUGUGGUGAUGCGCACCUGUAGUCCCAGCUACUUGGGAGGCUGAGGCAGGAGAAUGGUGUGAACCUGGGAGGCGGUGCUUGCAGUGAGCGGAGAUCACACCACUGCACUCCAGCCUGGGCGACAGAGCGAGACUCCGUCUCAAAAAAAAAAUAGUAAGUUUCAGGUCGAUGGAAGUUGAAUAAGAAGGCCUAGGCUGGAUACAGUGGCCUACACCUAUAAUCCCAGCACUUUGGAAGGCCAAGGCAGGCAGAUCCUUUGAACCAAGGAGUAGGAGACCAGCCUGGGCAACAUAGUGAGACCCUCCUCUCCAUAAAAAAUUUUUCAAAAUUAAAAAAAAAGAAGGCCUGAAGCUGACAUAGCUGAGAAAGUUUGUUUUAACUCACUACCAUUGAAUAAAAACUUAAUAGUUUUAUCAAGAUAUAAUUUACAUACUAUGAAAUUCACCUAUUUUGUGUACAAUUUAAUGAUUCUCAGUAAAUUUACACAGUAAAUUUGCACAACCAUUGCCACUAAUUUCAGAACAUUUCCAUUACCCCAAAAAGAUCCUUCACGAUGGUGGGCAGUUUGGUUCCCAUCCUUAGCCCCAGGCAACCACUCAUCUACAUUUUCUCUCUAUGGAUUUGUCCAGAUUUUUCACAUAAGUAGAAUCUUACAGCAUGCAGCCUUUUGUGUCUGCCUUCUUUCAUUUGUCAUAAUGUUUUUGAGGUUUAUCUAAGGUUGUGGCAUGUAGCAGUAUUUCAUUCCUUAUUAUUGCUAUGUCAUAUUCCAUGUAUGGACAUACCACAUUUUGUGUCUACUUUCCAAUUGUGGAUGUUUAGAUUGUGUCAACUUUUUGAGUAUUAUGAAAAUGCUGCUGGGGCUGAGAUUGGUGGCUCACUCCUGUAAUCCCAACACUUUAGGAUACCGAGAUGGGAGGAUCACUUGAAUACCCCGGAGUUUGAAACCAGCCUGGGCAACAUAGAGAGACCCUGUCUCUAUGAAAAACUUUAAAAAUAAAAAAUUAGCUGGUUGGCUGGGCGUGGUGGCUCAUGCCUAUAAUCCCAGCACUUUGGGAGGCCGAGGUGGGUGGAUCACCUGAGAUCAGGAGUUCGAGACCAGCCUGGCCUACAUGGUGAAAUCCCGUCUCUACUAAAAAUACAAAAAAUUAGCCAGGCGUGGUGGCGGGCACCUGUAAUCUCAGCUACUUGGGAGGCUGAGGCAGGAGAAUUGCUUGAACCCAGGAGGCGGAGGUUACAGUGAGCCGAGAUUGCACCAUUGCACUGAAGCCUGGGUGACACAGCAAUACUCUGUCUCCAAAAAAAAAAAAAAAAAAAAAUUAGCUGGUCAUGGUGACACGCACCUAUAGUCCCAGCUACUAGGGAGGCUGAAGCAGAAGGACCGCUUGAGCCCAGGAGAUCGAGGUUGCUGUGAGCUACGAAUGCGCCACUGCACUCUAGCCUGGGCAACAGACCAAGACCCUGUCUCGUUCAGUUAAUAGAGUUGCUAAAACACACACACACACACACAAAGAAGAAGAAAGAAAAAUAAUAAUGCUGCUAUGAACAUUUGUGAACAUAUAUCUUCAUGUGGAUAUAUGUUUUCAUUUAUCUUGGGUUGGUUCCUACAAACGAAAUUGUUGGGUGAUGUGGUAAGUUUAUUUAGUUAUUUUUAUUUUAUUUAUUUAUUUAUGGAAACUACCUUUUCUCUGGACUUCAGAAGGCUUAAGCUUUAUAUGAAAAUAUCAGAGUAGGCUGGGCACGGUGGCUCAUGCCUGUAAUCCCAGCACUUUGGGAGACUGAGGUGGGCUGAUCACCUGAGGUCAAGAGAUCGAGACCAUCCUUGCCAACAUGGUGAAACCCUGUCUCUAUUAAAAAUACAAAAAUUAGCCAGGCAUGGUGGCUCACACCUGUAAUCCCAGCACUUUGGGAGGCCAAGGCGGGCAGAUCACGAGGUCAGGAGAUCAAGGCCAUCCUGGCUAACACAGUGAAACCCCGUCUCUACUAAAAAUACAAAAAAAUAGGUGGGUGUGGUGGCGGGCGCCUGUAGUCCCAGCUACUUGGGAGGCUGAGGCAGGAGAAUGGCAUGAACUCGGGAGGCGGAGCUUGCAGUGAGGUGAGAUGGCGCCACUGCACUCCAGCCUGGGCAACAGAGCGAGACUCUGUCUCAAAAAAAAGAAAAUACAAAAAUUAGCUGGGCAUGGUGGUGUGCGCCUGUAGUCCUAACUACUCGGGAGGCUGAGGCAGGAGAAUCGCUUGAACCUGGCAGGCAGAGGUUGCAGUGAGUCAAGAUCAUGCCACUGCACUCCAGCCUGGUGACAGAGUGACACUCCAUCUCAAAAAAAUAAUAUAUAUAUAUAUAUAUAUUAGAGUAAUGCACCUUAAAAGAAGUGGUGUGUCAGGCAGCCUCUAUGGCGGUCCCAAAUGAUUCUUGCCUCCUGGUGUUCAGACACUGUGAAAUCCUCCCCACCUGAAUUUUAAAACAAUACUUUUUUUUUUUUUUUUCGAGACAGGGUCUUACUCUGCCAACCAGGCUGGAGUACAGUUCCACAGUCUGGCUCACUGCAGCGUCUGCCUCCCAGGCGGUCCCGAGCAAUCCUCCCAUCUCAGCCUUCAGAGUAUCAGGGACUACAGGCGUGCACCACCACACCCAGCUAAUUUUUGUUAGUUUUGGGGGAUUUGUUUGUUUGUUUUUAGGCAGAGUCUUGCUGUCUUGCCCAGGCUGGAAUGCAGUGGCACAAUCUCAGUUCACUGUAACCUCCACCUCCUGGGUUCAAGUGAUCCUCCCCGCUCAGCCUUCCAUGUAGCUGGGAUUAUAGGCACUCACCACCAUGUCCAGCUAAUUUUUGUAUUUUUAGUAGAGACGACAUUUUUUCGUGUUGGCCAGAACUCCUCACCUCAAGUGAUCUGCCUGCCUUGGCCUCCCAAAGUGCUGGGAUUACAGGUGUGAGCCACCACACCACCCAACCAACAAGUGAACAUUUUGAAUGCUCUCCUUUCCCCCAAAUGAUUUUCAGACACCCCUUUAAACAAAAGCAGAGAGUCAGAGAGUUGUCUGCAAAGGCAGUGAACAGUACUCUCCUGAAAGAGUUCUGAUAUUGAGAAGUGUUGCUAAAAUUUCAACUUCAAAAAUAGCUAUGGUCAUUUCAGCCACUAUUUCAGAAAUGAAAAAAUAUCUCAAGUGAGAGAGCUUGGAGACAGACCUGCAGACUUGAGAAUCUAGUCCAGUAGAUUCUAUACUUGCUUUCUGAUUUUCAUUGACCCUUCAGCAAGCCACAGGGCCCUUUUAUUAGCCUGUUAAUAAUUUUCUUUUCUUUUCUUUUCUUUUUUGUUUUUUUUGAGACAGAUUCUUGCUCUGUUGCCCAGGCUAGAGUGCAGUGGUGUGAUCUCAGCUCACUGAAACCUCCACCUCCUGAAUUCAAGUGAUUCUUCUGCCUCAGCCUCCCGAGUAGCUGGGAUUACAGGCGCCUGCCACUGUGCAUGGCUAAUUUUUGUAUUUUUAGUAGAGGUGGGGUUUCGCCAUGUUGGCCAGGGUGGUCUCAAACUCCUGACCUCAUGAUCUGCCCGCCCCGGCCUCCCAAAGUGCUGGGAUUACAGGUGUGAGCCACUGCGCCC